rnacentral:rRNA from 1 species
UACGUAGGGUGCGAGCGUUAAUCGGAAUUACUGGGCGUAAAGCGUGCGCAGGCGGCGCGUUAAGACAGGUGUGAAAGCCCCGAGCUUAACUUGGGAAUUGCGCUUGUGACUGGCGUGCUGGAGUGUGGCAGAGGGAGGUGGAAUUCCACGUGUAGCAGUGAAAUGCGUAGAGAUGUGGAGGAAUACCGAUGGCGAAGGCAGCCCCCUGGGAUAACACUGACGCUCAUGCACGAAAGCGUGGGGAGCAAACAGG